CUUACAGGGUCUAGCUAUAAGUUUUUAUUGACAUAGGACAGGAUAACACAGUAGGGAAAGCUCUAAGAGAAUGUUUGGUUUGCAGAUGUUAAGUGUAUGUUUCAAUAAAUAAUUUGGCAAUACUUUGGGGCUUGGAAACUAAGAAUGUAGAUACUAAGAAAGGAGAAGCAGGAAUUAUGAAAAUUGGGAGAGGCAUAAUAUGAUUAGGAAUAGUCAGGAUGGCUUUGCGAAAGGCAGGUCCGGCCAUACGAGCCUGACUAAAUAUUUUUGAAGAUGUGACCAAACACAUUGAUGAAGGUACAGCAGUAGAUGUAAUGUAUAUGGAUUUCUGCAAGGCAUUUAACGUGCUACCCCAUGCAAGGCUCAUUGACAAAGUAAGGAGGCAUGGGAUCCAAGGGGACAUUACUUUGUGGAUUCAGAACUGGCUCGCCCACAGAAGGCAAAGAGUGGUUGUAGAUAAGUCAUAUUCUGCAUGGAGGUCGGUGACCAGUGGUGUGCCUCAGGGACCUCUUCUGGGACCCUUAUUCUUCAUGAUUUUUAUAAAUGAUCAGGAUGAGGAAGUGGAGGGAUGGGUUAGUAAGUUUGUUGAUGACACAAAUGUUGGAGGUGUUGUGGAUAGUGUGAAAGGUUGUCAGAGGUUUCAGCGGGACAUUGAUAGGAUGCAAAAUUGGGCUGAGAAGUGGCAGAUGGAGUUCAACCCAGAUAAGUGUGAGGUGGUUCAUUUUGGUAGGUCAAAUAUGAUGGCAGAAUAUAGUAUUAAUGGUAAGACUCUUGGCAGUGUGGAGGAUCAGAGGGAUCUUGGGGUCUGAGUCCAUAGGACACUCAAAGCAGCUGCGCAGGUUGACUCUGUGGUUAAAAAGCAUACGGUGCAUUGGUCGUCAUCAAUCGUGAGAUUGAUUUUAGAAGUUGAGAGGUAAUGUUGCAGCUAUAUAAGACCCUGGUCAGACCCCACUCGGAGUACUGUGCUCAGUUCUGGUCAUCUCAUUACAGGACGUGGAAACUGUAGAAAGGGUGCAAAGGAGAUUUACAAGGAUAUUGUCUGGAUUGGGGAGCAUGCCUUAUGAGAAUAGGUUGAGUGAACUUGGUCUUUUUCCUUGUAGCAAUGGAGAAUGAGAGGUGAACUGAUAGCGGUGUACAAGAUGAUGAGAGGCAUUGAUUGUGUGGGUAGUCAGGGGCUUUUCCCCAGGGCUGAAAUGGCUAGCACAAGAGGGCACAGUUUUAAGGUGCUUGGAAAUAGGUACAGAGGAGACGUCAGGGGUAAGUUUUUUAAGCAGAGUGAGUGCAUGGAAUGGACUGCCGGCGACGGUGUUGGGGGCAGAUAUGAUAGGGUCCUUUAAGAGACUCCCUGGAUAGGUACAUGGAGCAUAGAAAAGUAGAGGGCUAUGGAUAACCCUAGGUAAUUUCUAAAGUAAGGACAUGUUCGGCACAGCUUUGUGGGCUGAAGGGCCCGUAUUGUGCUGUAGGUUUUCUGUGUUUCUAAUGUGCAAAUACAUUGCCUGUAUUCUGCAACUCAGCAACUGAGGUUCUAGUAUUCUUGGUUUAGGAGCGCAGUAGAUUGUGAAGUUUCCAAUUAAUGCUGAAGAUCACAUCCAUUUCCAUGGAAUAUUUGUUGGAUGUGAGGUGCAGCACUGCAGUGGGGAAAAUAGUGAAAAUAUGGCACUGGCAUAGCCUUAUCUGAUACAAGUUCUCACCUAAACCAUCUCUGUUGUACUGCUAUUAGUUCUAUCAUGAUUCGCCCACUGCUGCCUCUCAAGCUCCUGAUGAAGUCAAUGGUUUAGUGAGGUUGAAACACAUCAUGUACAGUAGUUGAUGCUGCUCCUUGCAUUUUUCAUGAAGAUUCCAUUUGGUGAAGAUUGCAUCCAUAUACUUCAGAUGGAUGAAAACUACUGGAAGCAGCUCUUCAGCCACUGGAAGGGGGAUUUGGGGAUUUGAGGAUUUGAAUGAUUACCUUCCCUUUGUUAGACUUCAAGGAGAACCCCUCUGUGGUAAAUGCAAUUGGACUUGUCUCCCUUUUAUUAAGAUGCUCAUGAUUACAACAUCUCUGAGCUCCUCUCGAAUAUUCUCCUGUUCUAGGAUGUAGACAGAAGAUUGGGGCUGUAUGACUGAAGACUUUCAUCCACCUGGUUUUAUAUCUUCAUUGGUUAUAUUGUCUGCUUCUGAGGUCCUAUUUUAGUUGGGCUGUGGCCUUUUCAAUUCUUUUGUUGGUCAAGUCUGGUGGUAUCAAAGGUGGUGGGAAGACUGGAAUGAAUAGUUACUGUGAGAUGGAAUCAAUGACACUUAUGCCACUGACAGAGUCAAGGUUGAGAAGUCUUUGAAAUAUUUCUUCCAAUGGAUGUUGAUUGCUUUCAUGUCCCUUAUGAGUUUUUCACUAUUCUUGGUACUUUACAGGAUAAGGCCUUGGCUCUUAUUGGUGCUUCAGCAAUACUGAAGAACUCAGCUUUAUUAUGGCUCUCAGUGAACUGCUGGACAUCCUAUUCACCAUCUGUUCUUUAGGUCUUGGGUUUUCUGCUGGAAUCCGUGUUCAGAUGCCCAAGAAAAGAACAAGUAGCCAUUUUCUGGAGACAGUGCAGAAUCAAAGGAGUUUCGAGAAAGGCGAAGGAAUGAAAUGGACAACGAACAUGGCUGAAGAAUAUGGUGAAACGCUUAAAAAAAUAAAUCUGGAAGGACAGAUACAAAUGUCAGAAAAUCCUCAUGGUUUCACGGAGAAUGUAUGGAUAAAAUUUCAGUUAGCCAGCUCGCACACGACAUUGGAGAAAGUUCGACACCUUUUUCCUUGGAAGUUGUGGAUAUUUCCUUUGCUUGGACUAGUUCUCUUUUGGUACCAUGAGUAAACUGACUGAAGCAAACUAAACUUAUUACAUGGUAAUUUGCUCCAACGACUGUAUACAUGCUAUAAACUGAUACAUAUGUGAUGGGCUCUUUUCUUUAUUUUGUUUGUUAUAGUUUAAAAUACAGUACAAUUUCCAUCUGUUUACACUGGUGUGAGCUAAAUUAUUGCUUCCUGGAAAACAUUAAAUUUUUAUGGGUGUCUGUCA